rnacentral:lncRNA from 10 species
GUCAUUAGUCACCAUGUGAAGGUGGCCUUAUAGGACACUUCCCAUCAGAAGAACACUUUUAUCAACCCCCUUUCCUGCUCUUCUGGGAGGAUAUAUGUGGGACUCUGUGGCCACCUGGUGGUUAGAAACAGUGGAACCACUGAGACAGUGACACACAACUCCGGUGUUAUCUGUAGGAGUGACUUCAUAAGCACCACACUGUGACCCAAAACACAUCGCAGGCCUUGGUCAUCUGAAAAGCUCCUGAAUUAUGGGAAAUCAAGCUUCAAAAUUCAGCACACUGUGAAGAAACAACCACCUUUAGAAACACCAGCUGGGUUUAUGUAUAACACUUAUGAAGCAUCCUCUUGUAAAUAUCCAAGAAACUGGACCCACCUAACUGUCACCCAGGCUGGAAGGCAGCGGCAUGAUCUCGGCUCACUGCAACCUCCGCCUCCCAGGUUCAAGCGAUUCUCCUGCCUCAGCCUCCCAAACAGCUGGGACUAAAGGGACACGCCAGCAUGCCCAGCUAAUUUUUGUAUUUUUAGUAGAGGCAGGGUUUCACCAUGUUGGCCAAGAUGG